rnacentral:lncRNA from 1 species
UUAGUUUCUGAUCUUUUGGAGAGAUUGGAUAUUUGCAUAGGUAAAUUGCAUUGUGAUGUAAUAAUUGUGCUACAGAAGUAGGAAUAACAAGCUGAAGGGCAACAAGGGCUUGGGAAGCUUGACAAAAGAGGGGAUCUUUCAAUUGGGUCAUUAAGGGUGACUAGGAGUUGCCAAUGGAUGGUAGAGAAAGGACUUUCAGGUGAAAGAAGGUGCAAAGUUAUGGCGAGAAACUAGAUCAGACUUAGAAAAACCUAAGCCCUGUUUUAUGUGAACAUGGAGGAAGGCACAGGGAGGCAAGACUCGGGAGUGGAUGAACUGCAUCUGAAAUUGGUCCAACCUGGCUGCACAAGGAACUCUUUGGUCAACACAAUUCUUAAAAUUAGAGGGUAUGAGAUGAGAAAGAGAACCAUCUGGGCAUAGAGAAUUGGCACCAAGCAAGAGCAAGGAACCAGACAUCAGUUACGGAAAAUGUAUCCCCACAUCACAUCAUGGGAGCCUAGCUCACAGACACUGCCAAUGGAAAUUGCAGAAAUAGAUCAACUGCAAAAGGUUACAUAGGGGACCCGCAUGCUACAUUAACUCUCUGUGAAUAAAUUACAUGUAAAAUUUGAGAACAUGUUUUCAUCAAAUAAGUAUUUGUGAAGG